CAGGCUCUGGGAGCAGCCUGAUGUGAGGGACGCUCUCAGGAGUUCGUGGGCUGAGAAAGAAAGCACAUUGAAGAGAUCAGAGAAGAGAGACAAAGAGCUCCUGAAGGCUGCGCUCGUCCUGGUCUACCACGACUGCGCGCUCCCUCUCCUCCAGUCGACACUCCUGCCCCCGUUCAGGUGGGCGGAAGGAGAGGCUGAGGCUGCCCGCUGGAAGGUGAUCGCUGACUUCCUCACAGAAACCCGAGAGAACGGGGGCGCCCUCCACGCUCUGCUGUCCCCAGAUGGGCUCCAUGACCCCUUUGACGUUUCAGAGCAGACCUAUGACUUCUUGGGAGAAAUAAGAAAGAAUGCAGCCUGACAGCGUGGCCCUGAUGCACCCUC